UGCAUAUACAUGUGUAUACAUAUGUGUGCAUAUAUGUGUAUACAUAUGUGGGUGUCUGUAUACAUGUAUGUUUGUUAUUCAUAAAAUAAAUCAAAAUCAAGAUAUUAACAGAACAUUCCGGAAGCGCUGCGUGGCGAACAGGCAACGGCUGGAGGCAGUUCGCUUCCCGGCCGUUUGUGAACCACCAAUAUGGACGCCAACUUAGGGUCUCAUAGUACAUCUGUCUGAACUGCAAAUGAACUGAACUGCCCGUUUUUGUUAGACAUUACUGUUUGUGUGGUAUAGAAGCCGUGUACAUCGAUUUCGAGCCUUUAUUACUUUAUUACCACUCACUAAGGAAAGCAAUUCAUCUCUCUCGCGACAAUUCUCACUGGCAGUUCGUUUACGAAUCAGCUGAUCGGUGCCCUGCGCGGCGAAACCUUUCACCCCGAGCGGUUUGGGCGAAGCGCACCUUGUAGAAAAGCUCAAGUGAACGAAGGGAAUGAUUCAUCUGGGUAAACAGAUGCCUGAGGUCCAAGUCUCGGAGGUUUCGAACACAGACGCGAAGGCUCGAACCUCACGACGGAGUAUCAGUUCAUCUGCUUCAUGAUGCGUAGAGAGGAAUACAAGACGAAGCCUUUCAUUUUUACCGUCUUCCGAGAGACCAUGGAAGAUGCCAAGCAUGAUGGAAGUUUGUCACGAAUACUGCCAGCACCUAAACAAUGCCUAUGUUUAAGACAUUUUUAGGCCGGGGUGUAUAGGAUUCAUUCAGCGCUCCCAAACAUACGCACUCAAAAGGGAUUGAUGCAAGGUGCAGCUGCCACUGUGUAUAGUGUCACGGCUAGUGCGCCAUCAUCACCUCCCAAUGCCAGUAUCAGAUUGCCACCACUAACACCAUCACCUUCAUAUCAGAUGUCGGUUCUCACUCUUACUGAUAGUGAUAAGCAUUGCAAAUUCUCCAAAUCAGUGCAUAGAUCAUACCUACGUGCUUGGAUCCUGAACUAAAGAAAACUCACCUAGCAGAUGCACAAGAGAAUGUUGGUGUAUUCAGUUUCCUACUUUGGCAGACGACUGAAACUCAUUAUAUAUUUGAAAAACAUUAUUUUUUUUAUAUAACAGAAAGUGAUAGUAAUAGAAAAUGCCUGGAAUUAAUAAUUAAUAAAAAAAAAAAAAAAAAAACAGGACUAGGACUGAUGCUCUUUGUUAGCGUAGAAUAGUAUCUUGUAAAUAUUCAAAUCAUUAGUGAAUCAGAUAUAAGGACCUUUUAAUUAUUUUCAUGACACAUUCUGUGAUAUACAAUUGUUGGCAGCUGCAAAUGAUAUUUUAUUCUGAUUUGCAGAGAUUGUGCAUUUAGGUUCCGAAAAUAACAGUUAUUACAAGUAAAAGGUAAAAGCAAAUCACAAGAAAUUAGAAACUCAUCGGUAAACACACUGAGAAAUAUAACCAGCAGAAGUCAUCACAUUUCUGAGAGAAGGAAAAUAAAGAUGCCAGACAAUGGAAUAACUAUUAGAAAGGAGUAUGUUUUACGAUCCAGAGGGGGAAUAGCAAAAAA